rnacentral:rRNA from 1 species
UGUUUCGGCUAGGGGGCCAUCCCGGCUUACCAACCCGAUGCAAACUGCGAAUACCGGAGAAUGUUAUCACGGGAGACACACGGCGGGUGCUAACGUCCGUCGUGAAGAGGGAAACAACCCAGACCGCCAGCUAAGGUCCCAAAGUCAUGGUUAAGUGGGAAACGAUGUGGGAAGGCCCAGACAGCCAGGAUGUUGGCUUAGAAGCAGCCAUCAUUUAAAGAAAGCGUAAUAGCUCACUGGUCGAGUCGGCCUGCGCGGAAGAUGUAACGGGGCUAAACCAUGCACCGAAGCUGCGGCAGCGACACUUUAGUGUUGUUGGGUAGGGGAGCGUUCUGUAAGCCGUUGAAGGUGUCCUGUGAGGGGUGCUGGAGGUAUCAGAAGUGCGAAUGCUGACAUAAGUAACGAUAAAGCGGGUGAAAAGCCCGCUCGCCGGAAGACCAAGGGUUCCUGUCCAACGUUAAUCGGGGCAGGGUGAGUCGACCCCUAAGGCGAGGCCGAAAGGCGUAGUCGAUGGGAAACGGGUUAAUAUUCCCGUACUUGGUGUUACUGCGAAGGGGGGACGGAGAAGGCUAUGUUGGCCGGGCGACGGUAGUCCCGGUUUAAGCGUGUAGGCUGGUUUUCCAGGCAAAUCCGGAAAAUCAAGGCUGAGGCGUGAUGACGAGGCACCACGGUGCUGAAGCAACAAAUGCCCUGCUUCCAGGAAAAGCCUCUAAGCAUCAGGUAACAUCAAAUCGUACCCCAAACCGACACAGGUGGUCAGGUAGAGAAUACCAAGGCGCUUGAGAGAACUCGGGUGAAGGAACUAGGCAAAAUGGUGCCGUAACUUCGGGAGAAGGCACGCUGACACGUAGGUGAAGUGAUUUACUCACGGAGCUGAAGUCAGUCGAAGAUACCAGCUGGCUGCAACUGUUUAUUAAAAACACAGCACUGUGCAAACACGAAAGUGGACGUAUACGGUGUGACGCCUGCCCGGUGCCGGAAGGUUAAUUGAUGGGGUCAGCGCAAGCGAAGCUCCUGAUCGAAGCCCCGGUAAACGGCGGCCGUAACUAUAACGGUCCUAAGGUAGCGAAAUUCCUUGUCGGGUAAGUUCCGACCUGCACGAAUGGCGUAAUGAUGGCCAGGCUGUCUCCACCCGAGACUCAGUGAAAUUGAACUCGCUGUGAAGAUGCAGUGUACCCGCGGCAAGACGGAAAGACCCCGUGAACCUUUACUAUAGCUUGACACUGAACAUUGAGCCUUGAUGUGUAGGAUAGGUGGGAGGCUUUGAAGCGUGGACGCCAGUCUGCGUGGAGCCGACCUUGAAAUACCACCCUUUAAUGUUUGAUGUUCUAACGUGGACCCGUAAUCCGGGUUGCGGACAGUGUCUGGUGGGUAGUUUGACUGGGGCGGUCUCCUCCUAAAGAGUAACGGAGGAGCACGAAGGUUGGCUAAUCCUGGUCGGACAUCAGGAGGUUAGUGCAAUGGCAUAAGCCAGCUUGACUGCGAGCGUGACGGCGCGAGCAGGUGCGAAAGCAGGUCAUAGUGAUCCGGUGGUUCUGAAUGGAAGGGCCAUCGCUCAACGGAUAAAAGGUACUCCGGGGAUAACAGGCUGAUACCGCCCAAGAGUUCAUAUCGACGGCGGUGUUUGGCACCUCGAUGUCGGCUCAUCACAUCCUGGGGCUGAAGUAGGUCCCAAGGGUAUGGCUGUUCGCCAUUUAAAGUGGUACGCGAGCUGGGUUUAGAACGUCGUGAGACAGUUCGGUCCCUAUCUGCCGUGGGCGCUGGAGAAUUGAGGGGGGCUGCUCCUAGUACGAGAGGACCGGAGUGGACGCAUCACUGGUGUUCGGGUUGUCAUGCCAAUGGCACUGCCCGGUAGCUAAAUGCGGAAAAGAUAAGUGCUGAAAGCAUCUAAGCACGAAACUUGCCCCGAGAUGAGUUCUCCCUGAGAC